UUCAGAUUUAAAAAAAAAUACAUACUGUGUUGGAAAAUCAGAGGUGUAUAACGUGAUUAUAUACCUCUGAAUGAUUUUAAUUAACCAAUCACAAUUCAGUAUUUUCUGAAGUCAUGGUAGACU